rnacentral:rRNA from 1 species
UGGGGAAUUUUGGACAAUGGGCGAAAGCCUGAUCCAGCAAUGCCGCGUGUGUGAAGAAGGCCUUCGGGUUGUAAAGCACUUUUGUCCGGAAAGAAAUCCUUGGCUCUAAUACAGUCGGGGGAUGACGGUACCGGAAGAAUAAGCACCGGCUAACUACGUGCCAGCAGCCGCGGUAAUACGUAGGGUGCAAGCGUUAAUCGGAAUUACUGGGCGUAAAGCGUGCGCAGGCGGUUUGCUAAGACCGAUGUGAAAUCCCCGGGCUCAACCUGGGAACUGCAUUGGGUGACUGGCAGGCUAGAGUAUGGCAGAGGGGGGUUAGAAUUCCACGUGUAGCAGUGAAAUGCGUAGAGGUGUGGAGGAAUACCGAUGGCGAAGGCAGCCCCCCUGGGCCAAUACUGACGCUCAUGCACGAAAGCGUGGGGAGCAAAACAGGAUUAGAUACCCUGGUAGUCCACGCCCUAAACGAUGUCAACUAGUUGUUGGGGAUUCAUUUCCUUAGUAACGUAGCUAACGCGUGAAGUUGACCGCCUGGGGAGUACGGUCGCAAGAUUAAAACUC